AUUGAACGCUGGCGGCAUGCCUAACACAUGCAAGUCGAACGCGAAAGUCCUUCGGGGCGAGUAGAGUGGCGGACGGGUGAGUAAUGCAUGGGAAUCUACCUCGACGUGGGGGGAUAACCCGGGGAAACUCGGGCUAAUACCGCAUACGACCUACGGGUGAAAGGGGGGCUUCGGCUCUCGCGGCGAGAUGAGCUCAUGUCCGAUUAGCUAGUUGGCGGGGUAAAGGCCCACCAAGGCGACGAUCGGUAGCUGGUCUGAGAGGAUGAUCAGCCACACUGGGACUGAGACACGGCCCAGACUCCUACGGGAGGCAG
rnacentral:rRNA from 1 species